rnacentral:lncRNA from 1 species
GUACUAUCGUCUGACUUUCUAUAUUAUUUCGGCCCCUUUUUUCGAUCCUCAGAUCGAAUUGUGAGUACUAUUCUUUAUGGUUGAAACGUUUGUGACCCUGGAAAUGCCACAGAUAUGGGUCAGAAAUGGUCUGAUGACAAUUCUUUUCUGCGCAGUACUUUUUUUUAAAGAAUUUUUUAAAUCAGGUAGGGUUUUUUUUCAGUUUAUUCGGUCCGCUGGCUAACUCGCUGCUGCUACUUUCAACAAAAAUAUUUUUAGUGUCCACCAUUUACAUUCCUAUUAAGAAAUAAAUUCUUAUAGGAUCUGUUACUUCAUGUUAAAACACAUACUUUAAGAAUAUUUAUUAACAUUACAUUUUGAAUAUAUGUAAAUGAUUUCAGGGUCUAAUAUUUAGCCAAUCAUUUGGAAAUAUUAUGUAAAAUCGUGGUUUUUAAAUGGCUACAUGGAUGAUUGCAUGGUAAGAGCUCACAUCAAGAAUGAAGUCGUAAAGGAUGAGAAGACAAAAAUUAAUCAAUUCGACUUAUGGUAAAUAUACUACACUCCUAUAUCGAAUGCUACUUUGUUGCGAGUCUAACCAAUGCGGUCAAGAUGUGAACUAACGUUGUCAAAAAAUCCAUGAUCAAUAAUCCAUCAAAUCCAUCAAACUACUAUCCCUCUCUCUGCUUAUGUGAUUGGUUCCCUGCAACGAAUCAAACAUCCCUCAAGCAAGUGUCUCAUCCCGUCCCUUUAAAAUGAAUCUGCGCCACUAUUUUAUUUUGGGAUCGUUUAUCUCUUUUGGUUUUAUGGUUUAAUGGUGCUAAUGGUUUUUUCUGUAAAUUUUAUAUAUAUAAUAUAUAAUAAAUACAAUAUAAAUUUAAAACAAUAUUUAUUUAUUUAUUAUUAUUAUUAUUAUAUUUAUUAUUAAAUUUCACUCCACCAAGAGACUCAUAGGAUUCGUUUCCAACAUGCUUUUUUCUAAGGGAGGAUUACACAAAAAGAAUAAGUAGAUUUUAGGUAGAAUGCUGGUACUAUUGAAUGUAUUGUUUGAAUUUCACCAUAUUUCACCAGUGAAAUGUACAUAUUUAUUUUAUUUCUUAAUAUUUUAUUCAUUGUGUAAUUGUUUUGAAUAUUCGUUAUGCUUUGAUAAAACAUGCGUAUUGAAGUCAAAUCUCAGACAAAACUUUAUAGCGCCGGGACAUAAGUAACAUUGGUAAAAUUAUGAUUUUGAUUUUUAAUAACUGAAGUUAUGAAUUUUUAAUACGUGAUGUUUCAGUCCAUUGCGGGACCUAAAACUACUUUUCAUAUAACACAACUCGCAAUGAAAUUCACUCAUUUCGAAUAGCAAAUAAAGUAAAGUAUCUUAAGAGUUAGAUGUUUUUAUAGAGCAUAUAUAAUGUUUUCAUUUGAAUGGUAUAUGUACAUACGUAUACAUGUAUGUAUGUAUAUAAAGACAGAAAAUAUAAUAUUUGAAAUCCUAUUCUCACAUCUUUUACAUGAUUACAACUAUAUACCUACCGCAAGAACCAAUCAGCCAAUAUAUCUCAUUUUAGAAGAAAAGACGAAUGAGAGUAUAAAAGAUCAUGUAAUCAUGAUUAUAUAAUUUAGUAUAAAACAUUGUUUAGUUUGAAUAGUUUCAUUUUUAUAACGGUAUGUAAGCAUUUUUGAUAUAUAAAAGGAUAAUCAAAAUUUCAUUAAACAUGUACAUGCAUAGGCGUUCCUAGAAACACUUAACGAGAUAAAACUGGCGAUUGGAUACACCAAGGUUGAAGAUCUAUGUAUAGGAUUUGCGUACAAGAUCAAUGGAUGUAAACUUAAAAAAACAUUAUUUGGAACAAAGGUAGUCCUUUAUUUAAGCGAUAAGGACAAUGAGCCGCUUUGGAUAUUUUUACCUAAAAGUUAUGUAACCAAAUUUUCCACAAAAACACCCUUUAAGAUGCUAAAGGAACAUGGAAUUUCACAUCUUAUAUAUAAAGGAAAAGAGAUGACUAGCACUCCCCAUUUCCAAUUUGUAGUAAAGAAUAAAUAAAGAAUUCAAGGGAUUCAAUUCUUAUACAUAAGAGAAAAGAGACAACUUGAUAUUCAUGUAAAUAAAAAAAAGGAACCAGGUUAAAACAUAAAUACAUUUGCGAGUUAGAAAGAGAUAAAUGGUAUAGCACGGUUUAUUUAUUUUAUGUUAUUAUUGUUUAUUAUUUAUGAAUGAUACAAUCAAAUACAACUUUUUAUACCCGGUACUCGAAGAGUAAAUAGGGUAUAUUGUAUUUGUGUCGAAUAACGGUUGUAUGUAACACACUGAAGGAAGCGUUUCCGACCCCAUAAAGUAUAUAUAUUCUUGAUCAGCAUCAAUAGCCGAGUCGAUAGAGCCAUGUCUGUCUGUUCGUCUGUCCGUCUUGUUUGUCGGCUAGUUCUCAGAGACUAUAAGAGCUAGAGCCAACAAAUGUUGGCUCCAGACUGCUGUAUGCUCACACUGAAACCAGUGUAUUUCCAAAAUGAGCCACGCCCCCCUUCCGCCCCCGAAAAAGGGCGAAAACCUUCCAAAUCUACAAUUUUGAAGAUAAAAGAAAACUAAAACCAUUCCGUAGGGAAUGACCAUAUCUAUCGGAUCACCAAAUUGGGAUCCGAUUGGAUCAUUAUUAUAGCCACAAUGGAGAAAUUAAUUUCCAGUGGCUAAACUCACCCUGUCCCGCAGCUUUUGUUGUUCUUUUUACAUUCUCUCAUUCACACUGUGCUUCUGCUUCACUCGGCCCCUGCCUCUGCCCUCCCCCUGCCGAUGUCUAUUCCGACUUUUAACCCACCCCAGCUUAUAUUUGUUUUUUUUGUGUGUGCGGGCGCUGCCUCUGCCGCGAGUCUGCAGUGUGUGGGUCUAGGGAAGGGCGGCGAGCUAACGGAGCGUGUUGGUGUGAGAAGUGUUGUAGAUGAAGAUGAUAGAUGAAGAAAAAAUUUAAACUUUGACAAAACACCGCUAAGGUGCAGAUGUAGUCCUGAGUGCCGGGUAUAAAAGUUGUGACGCGUAAGAAGCUUCUCACACGUCCCUUCUCGUUCUUAGUCAAUUCGAAGAGAUGAUUUUCGAUGAGCAUUUUAAAAUCCUGGAAAACCUCAUGGUUAUUUUGGAGGAUCUGGAGGAAAAGGAGCUUCAAUACUAAAAGUUCGUGUUUCACUAUAAGCUGUGCCCCUGGAGCAACGACGAUGCUACCGAUGGACAUGACACGUGCCUUUGUCAUACGUUACCGGCAAAGAAAGCCCAAGCUAUAGACCUCAUGCUUAAAUAUGAUAGAUUAAAUAAUAGAAUGAAUCCCACUAAAAAAAAU